CCUACGGGAGGCAGCAGUGGGGGAUAUUGCACAAUGGGGGAAACCCUGAUGCAGCGACGCCGCGUGUGGGAAGACGGUCCUCUGGAUUGUAAACCACUGUCCCCAGGGACGAAGAUGACGGUACCUGGGGAGGAAGCUCCGGCUAACUACGGGCCAGCAGCCGCGGCAAUACGUAGGGAGCGAGCGUUGUCGGGAAUUACUGGGUGUAAAGGGAGCGUAGGCGGGACUGCAAGUUGGGUGUAAAAUCUACCGGCUCAACCGGUAGCCGCACUCAAAACUGCAGUUCUGGAGUGAAGUAGAGGCAGGCGGAAUUCCUAGUGUAGCGGUGAAAUGCGUAGAUAUUAGGAGGAACACCAGUGGCGAAGGCGGCCUGCUGGGCUUUUACUGACGCUGAGGCUCGAAAGUGUGGGGAGCAAACAGGAUUAGAUACCCCAGUAGUC
rnacentral:rRNA from 1 species